rnacentral:tRNA from 1 species
GCAUUGGUGGUUCAGUGGCAAAAGUCUCGCCUUCCACGCGGGAGACCCGGGUUUGAUUCCCAGCAAACGCG